AACGUAGGAGACAAACGUUAUCCGGAGUUACUGGGCGUAAAGGGCGUGUAGGCGGUCGGCCAAGUCUGAUGUGAAAGCCCGAGGCUCAGCCUCGAAAGUGCGUCGGAAACUAGUCGGCUGGAGCGCGAUAGAGGAGGGUGGAAUUCCUGGUGUAGCGGUGAAAUGCGUAGAUAUCAGGAGGAACACCGGCGGCGAAGGCGGCCCUCUGGAUCGUUGCUGACGCUGAGACGCGAAAGCGUGGGGAGCAAACAGG
rnacentral:rRNA from 1 species